ACCACAACCUCCGACUUGCCCACCGCCUCACCCGCUCCUCUCUUCUUCUCCAUCCUUCACCCUCUACAUGGGAGUUAUUGCUGUAAGUGGGCUGUAGGAAUUACUGCACGGCGACAUGGAAUCGAAUUAGGAAUUUGUUUCCUUUGAGUUCUAUCACAGCUCCGUUAGCUUGUGUCCCGAGGACAUCAUACACACAUUUGUUGCAAUAUCCUUUUACACAGGUCCUGGUCAGUAGCUUUGCUAGAUGAAUGUAAUGAUUAGUACUGUCUUAGACAUCAUUGAUUAGUUACUUAUGUUCUAUGGUCCUCUGUAGCACCCAAUUUUGUUGGUUUCUGUUUCUUCUUUUCAGUGUGAGGAAAUGGCUUCGCUUUGUAACAUCAUUUUUUCACCUCUUUUGAUGCACUGAACUUCUUUUUGUGCUUCAGAGGCAUGAACAAUUUUGUACUGCUGCAGGAAAUGAGGAAAAGCAAAAAAUAUCUGUAACUUUUGUUGACAAGGAUGGAGAAGAGAACCUUUUGUUUUUGAGCUAAUGUACUUCUGUCUUUCUCUAACUUUUGUACUAUUCUGCAUCUUCUUGAUGCCAGUAAUGCAAUUUCUUAUUACUUCAUCAAAAAAAAAAAAAAAGGAUGGAGAAGAGAACCA